rnacentral:rRNA from 1 species
AUUGAACGCUGGCGGCAUGCCUUACACAUGCAAGUCGAACGGUAACGGGCCUUCGGGUGCCGACGAGUGGCGAACGGGUGCGUAAUACAUCGGAACGUGCCCGAUCGUGGGGGAUAACGAGGCGAAAGCUUUGCUAAUACCGCAUACGAUCUACGGAUGAAAGCAGGGGACCGCAAGGCCUUGCGCGGACGGAGCGGCCGAUGGCAGAUUAGGUAGUUGGUGGGAUAAAAGCUUACCAAGCCGACGAUCUGUAGCUGGUCUGAGAGGAUGAUCAGCCACACUGGGACUGAGACACGGCCCAGACUCCUACGGGAGGCAGCAGUGGGGAAUUUUGGACAAUGGGCGCAAGCCUGAUCCACCCAUGCCGCGUGCAGGAUGAAGGCCUUCGGGUUGUAAACUGCUUUUGUACGGAACGAAAAGCCUUCUUUUAAUACAGGAGGGUCAUGACGGUACCGUAAGAAUAAGCACCGGCUAACUACGUG